UUUCUGUGGUUAGUGUUCUGAUGUCCCGAAAUAAAUAAUCUUUGAAGUAAUUCUUGAUUCUUGGAUCAACUAGAGAACUCUCAGGAAACUUCCUCUCUUCCCACCAAAAAUAAUUAUAUAGUUAUCCUUGGGCGAUCUUGAAUCUUAAUUAGUACAUUCACGUUCUCUGUGGAAAAUCGAUACUCUAGAAUACUCCCGGGUGAAAGCUACAUUGGUAUCCGUGCGCUUGUGGAUAUAUUUUUCCGUUUGCGUUUAAAAUACCCAACAGGGCCUCAACCUCGCGAGCCCUCUCUAAAGAGCAGCAAGUGGGUACUGUAACAGAACCGCCCAAUUUACAAGAGAUCAACUAUGAAAAAUUCCCGACAAAGCAGUUGCUUUAACAUAAUCGAACUCUCAUAAGCCCGGUAGUCCGUGAAAUCACGAGGGAUUUCAAACCAACCAUCUUACAAGCC
rnacentral:lncRNA from 1 species